rnacentral:rRNA from 1 species
GACGUAGGGCGCGAGCGUUGUCCGGAUUUAUUGGGCGUAAAGAGCUCGUAGGCGGCUUGUCGCGUCGACCGUGAAAACUCACAGCUCAACUGUGAGCUUGCGGUCGAUACGGGCAGGCUCGAGUUCGGUAGGGGAGACUGGAAUUCCUGGUGUAGCGGUGAAAUGCGCAGAUAUCAGGAGGAACACCGGUGGCGAAGGCGGGUCUCUGGGCCGAUACUGACGCUGAGGGGCGAAAGCGUGGGGAGCGAACAGG